rnacentral:rRNA from 1 species
CUAAAAUGCAAGUCGAUCGGUAACGCGGGGGCAACCCUGGCGACGAGAGGCGGACGGGUGAGCAACGCUUGGGAAUCUGCCCAUCAGCGGGGGACAACCCGGGGAAACCCGGGCUAAUACCGCGUACGCUCUACGGAGGAAAGCCGGGGACCGCAAGGCCUGGCACUGAUGGAUGAGCCCAAGUCGGAUUAGCUAGUUGGCGGGGUAACGGCCCACCAAGGCGACGAUCCGUAGCUGGUCUGAGAGGACGAUCAGCCACACCGGAACUGAGACACGGUCCGGACUCCUACGGGAGGCAGCAGUGGGGAAUAUUGGACAAUGGGGGAAACCCUGAUCCAGCGACGCCGCGUGGGUGAAGAAGGCCUGCGGGUUGUAAAGCCCUUUCGGUAGGGACGAAAGCUUCCGACCUAACACGUCGGGAGGUUGACUUAACCUACAAAAGAAGCACCGGCUAACUCUGUGCCAGCAGCCGCGGUAAUACAGAGGGUGCGAGCGUUAAUCGGAAUUACUGGGCGUAAAGCGCACGUAGGCGGCUUGGUAUGUCGGGUGUGAAAUCCC